rnacentral:tRNA from 1 species
GUUCCGUCGCUCAGUUGGUAGAGCAUGGUGUUUGCAACGCCAGGGUUGUGGGUUCGAUUCCCACAGGGGACC